rnacentral:rRNA from 1 species
AUUAAAGUUGCUGCGGUUAAAAAGCUCGUAGUUGGAUUACGAAGUGGUGUUUAAAUGUCAUUUUGGUUUGUUUGUCUUUCGGGGCAUUCAGGUCAACUUGGCUUUUACUCACUGUUGUCAUUGUCUUUGCCCAAGGUAUAUGCCUUGUGUGCAUGGCAUUGACCUUCUAUUUUAUGGUAAUGUUGUAUCUUUCGGGGUACAUUCAUUCCAUAUAGUUUACUUUGAAAAAAUUAGGGUGUUUAAAGCAGGCGAAAAGGCUUCGGAAUAUAUUAGCAUGGGAUAAUAGAAUACGAUCUAGGUCGUAAUUUGUUGGUUUCUACGGCUUAGGUAAUGAUUGACAGGGAUAGUUGGGGUCGCUCGUAUUGAGUUGUCAGAGGUGAAAUUCUAGGAUUAACUCAAGACGAACUAAUGCGAAAGCAUUCGGCAAGGAUGUUUUCAUUAAUCAAGAACGAAAGUUGGGGGAUCGAAGAUGAUCAGAUACCGUCGUAGUCUCAACUGUAAACUAUGUCGACCGAGGAUCCGGUAGCGUUACAUGGAUGACCUUCCGGGCACUCUGUGAGAAAUCAUAAGUAUUUGGAUUUCGGGGGGAGUAUGGUCGCAAGGCUGAAACUUAAAGGGAUUGACGGAAGGGCACCACCAGGAGUGGAAUCUGCGGCUUAAUUUGACUCAACACGGGAAAACUUACCAGGUCCGGACACAGUGAGGAUUGACAGAUUGAGAGCUCUUUCUUGAUUUUGUGGGUGGUGGUGCAUGGCCGUUUUUAGUUGGUGGAGUGAUUUGUCUGGUUAAUUCCGUUAACGAACGAGACCUUAACCUAUUAAAUAGCUGCGCGAACCCAGGUUCUUUAACCAUUCUCUCCUUCGGGGGGGCGUGGUAUCAUUAUUUUGCUUUUCACUUUCGGGUGGGAGGUAGGGUAGUGAUAGGGCCUGAGAUGAGUUGGUGAUUUGGCUUCUUAGAGGGACUACUUGCAUCCUUAGCAAGGGGAGGUUUGAGGCAAAAACAGGUCUGUGAUGCCCUUCGAUGUUCUGGGCUGCACGCGCGUUACACUGGCGCAUGCAAAGAGUUUAAAAUUCCUGUCCCGAUGGGGUUGGGAAAUCUUUUUAAAGUGCGUCGUGAUGGGGAUAGAGCAUUGAAAAUUUGCUCUUGAACGAGGAAUUCCUAGUAAUUGCAGGUCAUCAACCUGCAAUGAUUACGUCCCUGCCCUUUGUACACACCGCCCGUCGCUCCUACCGAUGGUUGAACCGAUGAGGACUCGGGAUGAUCUUAUUAGAUCGGUCGGUCGAAAGAUCGAUAGACUAUUAGGUCAGAACUUGUUCAAAUCUUUUUAA